rnacentral:rRNA from 1 species
UACGUAGGGUGCAAGCGUUAAUCGGAAUUACUGGGCGUAAAGCGUACGCAGGCGGCUAUGUAAGACAGGCGUGAAAUCCCCGGGCCCAACCUGGGAACUGCGCUUGUGACUGCAUAGCUGGAGUCCGUAAGAGGGGGGUGGAAUUCCACGUGUAGCAGUGAAAUGCGUAGAGAUGUGGAGGAACACCGAUGGCGAAGGCAGCCCCCUGGGAUGAGACUGACGCUCAUGUACGAAAGCGUGGGGAGCAAACAGG